UACGGAGGGGGCUAGCGUUGUUCGGAAUUACUGGGCGUAAAGCGCACGUAGGCGGCUUUGUAAGUUAGAGGUGAAAGCCCGGGGCUCAACUCCGGAACUGCCUUUAAGACUGCAUCGCUAGAAUUGUGGAGAGGUGAGUGGAAUUCCGAGUGUAGAGGUGAAAUUCGUAGAUAUUCGGAAGAACACCAGUGGCGAAGGCGACUCACUGGCCCGAUACUGACGCUGAGGUGCGAAAGCGUGGGGAGCGAACAGG
rnacentral:rRNA from 1 species